AGUCUAUUGAAUUAGGAUAGUAGAUAUUUUCUGCCCACUGUGAAAAUUAACGGCCGCGUUAUAUUGAGCGUGCGAAGGUAGCAUAAUAAUUUGUUUUUUAAUUGAAUACUUGGAUGAAUGGAGUGACGAAGUUCAAGCUGUCUCAUUUUUAGGAAUUAGAAAUUAAUCUCCAGGUGAAGAAGCCUGACUUUUUAUGAAGGACAAGAAGACCCUGUCGAGCUUACUUUUAAAAUAAAUAUUAAAGUUAAUUGGGGCGAUUAGAGAGAUAAAAAUCCUCUCUUUUUUAAAGAGGAACUCACUAUAAAAAUCCGACUUUUUCGAGUUAAGAUUAGCUACCGCAGGGAUAACAGGCUAAUUUUUUUUUAGAGUCCAAAUCUACAAAAAAGUUUGGCACCUCGAUGUUGGCUUAAGAUACUUUUUUAACGUAGAAGUUAAAAAUCAGUGGUUUGUUCAACCAUUAAAUUCUU
rnacentral:rRNA from 1 species